UACAUGCAGUCGAGCGGACAGAAGGGAGCUUGCUCCCGGAUGUUAGCGGCGGACGGGUGAGUAACACGUGGGUAACCUGCCUGUAAGACUGGGAUAACUCCGGGAAACCGGAGCUAAUACCGGAUAGUUCCUUGAACCGCAUGGUUCAAGGAUGAAAGACGGUUUCGGCUGUCACUUACAGAUGGACCCGCGGCGCAUUAGCUAGUUGGUGAGGUAACGGCUCACCAAGGCGACGAUGCGUAGCCGACCUGAGAGGGUGAUCGGCCACACUGGGACUGAGACACGGCCCAGACUCCUACGGGAGGCAGCAGUAGGGAAUCUUCCGCAAUGGACGAAAGUCUGACGGAGCAACGCCGCGUGAGUGAUGAAGGUUUUCGGAUCGUAAAGCUCUGUUGUUAGGGAAGAACAAGUGCAAGAGUAACUGCUUGCACCUUGACGGUACCUAACCAGAAAGCCACGGCUAACUACGUGCCAGCAGCCGCGGUAAUACGUAGGUGGCAAGCGUUGUCCGGAAUUAUUGGGCGUAAAGGGCUCGCAGGCGGUUUCUUAAGUCUGAUGUGAAAGCCCCCGGCUCAACCGGGGAGGGUCAUUGGAAACUGGGAAACUUGAGUGCAGAAGAGGAGAGUGGAAUUCCACGUGUAGCGGUGAAAUGCGUAGAGAUGUGGAGGAACACCAGUGGCGAAGGCGACUCUCUGGUCUGUAACUGACGCUGAGGAGCGAAAGCGUGGGGAGCGAACAGGAUUAGAUACCCUGGUAGUCCACGCCGUAAACGAUGAGUGCUAAGUGUUA
rnacentral:rRNA from 1 species